UAGGGAAUAUUGCGCAAUGGACGAAAGUCUGACGCAGCGACGCCGCGUGAGUGAUGAAGGCCUUAGGGUCGUAAAGCUCUGUUGAAUGGGAAGAAAAAAUGACGGUACCAUUCGAGGAAGGACCGGCUAACUUCGUGCCAGCAGCCGCGGUAAUACGAGGGGUCCUAGCGUUGUUCGGAAUCAUUGGGCGUAAAGGGUGUGUAGGUGGCUAAGUAAGUCAGGUGUGAAAGCCCCGGGCUCAACCCGGGAAGUGCAUCUGAUACUGCGUAGCUUGAGUACCGAAGAGGAUAGUGGAAUUCCAGGUGUAGUGGUGAAAUACGUAGAUAUCUGGAGGAACACCGGUGGCGAAGGCGGCUAUCUGGUCGAGUACUGACACUGAGACACGAAAGCAUGGGGAUCAAACAGGAUUAGAUACCCUAGUAGUCCCUGAGCGGGCUGGCAAGGCGCAU
rnacentral:rRNA from 1 species